CCUACGGGGGGCUGCAGUGAGGAAUAUUGGUCAAUGGACGAGAGUCUGAACCAGCCAAGUAGCGUGAAGGAUGACUGCCCUAUGGGUUGUAAACUUCUUUUAUAUGGGAAUAAAACGUUCCACGUGUGGGAUUUUGUAUGUACCAUAUGAAUAGGGAUCGGCUAACUCCGUGCCAGCAGCCGCGGUAAUACGGAGGAUCCGAGCGUUAUCCGGAUUUAUUGGGUUUAAAGGGAGCGUAGGUGGAUUGUUAAGUCAGUUGUGAAAGUUUGCGGCUCAACCGUAAAAUUGCAGUUGAAACUGGCAGUCUUGAGUACAGUAGAGGUGGGCGGAAUUCGUGGUGUAGCGGUGAAAUGCUUAGAUAUCACGAAGAACUCCGAUUGCGAAGGCAGUUCACUGGACUGCAACUGACACUGAGGCUCGAAAGUGUGGGUAUCAAACAGGAUUAGAUACCCGUGUAGUC
rnacentral:rRNA from 1 species